GGGGAAUUCUCAAAGAGAAAACGUGAUUUACGCAUAAGUGUGUGAUUUUCGAAAAGAAAACCCGUGUUUUUUGCUUAAAUGGGGGAUUUGUGUAAAGAAAACGCGUGAUUUUCUGGUUAAAUGGAGGAUUUCCGAAGAGAAAACGUGUGAUUUUCGCAUAAAUGGGGGAUUUCCGAAGAGAAAACGCGUGAUUUUCGCAUAAAUGGGGGAUUCUCGAAGAGAAAACGCGUGAUUUUCGCUUAAAUGAGGGAUUUCCGAAGAGAAAACGCGAGAUUUUCGCUUAAAUGGGGGUUUUGCGAAGGGAAAACGUGUGAUUUCUGGUUAAAUGGGGGAUUUCGGAAGAGAAAACUCGUGUUUUUGGGUUAAUUGGGGGAUUUGCGAAGAGAAAUCGCGUGAUUUUCGCUUAAAUGGGGGAUUUGAGAAAACACAUGAUUUUCGGGUUAAAUGGGGGAUUCUCGAAGAGAAAAUGCUUGGUUUUCUGGUUAAAUGGGGGAUUUGCGAAGAGAAAAUGCGUGAUUUUCGCUUAAAUGGGGGAUUUGAGAAAACACAUGAUUUUCGGGUUAAAUGGGGGAUUCUCGAAGAGAAAAUGCUUGGUUUUCUGGUUAAAUGGGGGAUUUGCGAAGAGAAAACACGUGAUUUUCGCUUAAAUGGGGGAUUUCCGAAGAGAAAACGCAUGAUUUUCUGGUUAAAUGUUGGAUUCUCGAAGAGAAAACGCGUGAUUUUCGCUUAAAUGGGGGAUUUGAGAAAACGCGUGAUUUUCGGUUAAAUGUUGGAUUCUCGAAGAGAAAACGCGUGAUUUUCGCUUAAAUGGGGGUUUUGCGAAGGGAAAACGUGUGAUUUUCUGGUUAAAUGGAGGAUUUCCGAAGAGAAAACGUGUGAUUUUCGCAUAAAUGGGGGAUUUCCGAAGAGAAA
ensembl:lncRNA